UCUCUCACAGCCUCAUCUGAGUGGAGCAGCAGAGCUGGGCACUAACUCAAGAAUCUGCUGUUUGUUAAUAACUGGAAUGUGUUCUGGGAGCGUCCUUGGUUGUUUCGUCCUGAUGGCCUGCACCCCAGCAGCCUCGGAGCGGAACCGUUGUCAGACAACAUCUCCAAGACGCUACACACCAAGUGACUGCCUACCAUACUAGAGAUCCUGAUCCUUUCUGCUCUCCGGACCUGCCCGAUCCGUUUCGGAUGUCCUACCUCUGGAUGGAGCUCUCAUCUACUCCAAUUCCAGACUGCUGGGACUACGGCUGCUUCUAAGGCCAAACAGACUUCAUAUAAAUCCAUAAUGAACUUUUUCACACUAUCCGUUGUUACCCAGAUGAGGACGGGUUCCCUUCUGAGUCGGGUUCCUCUCAAGGUUUCUUCCUCUUAAAACAUCUCAGGGAGUUUUUCCUCACCACCGUCACCACCGGCUCGCUCAAUAGGGAUAAAUUCGUACUCUUAAUAUCUGUAUACUGUGUUUAUAUAUUUCUGUAAAGCUGCUUUGAGACAAUGUCUAUUGUAAAAACGCUAUACAAAUAAAAUGUAAUUGAUUUAAUGAGUUGAUGUAACUGAAAUUGCUAGUAAAUACUCAGAGAAUUUACUCUGAGAGUAGCCUAUACUUUGUUUACGUACAGCAUGUUAGUAGAAAGUAGUAGAGAG
ensembl:lncRNA